rnacentral:rRNA from 1 species
AUUGACAUGCACCUACGCGGACGACACAGCGCUCCUGUGCUCUGACGCAACUCCUACUCUGGCAGCGCAAGGGCUGCAACACGAGGUGGAACAUCACCAUAAACGCUGAAAAAUCUACCUACGUCACGUUUACACUCAGACCAGGCAACUGUCCACCCGUCCACAUCAACGGCACCAACAUACCGCCCAAUGCGAAGGCCAAGUACCUGGGACUAACAAUUAAUUACUUGUAUUUUUUCAUAUGUUCCUCCUAUUUAAAAACCUGCAUUAGUGCUCUUAAACGAGUGUUAUUGUGGGUCGGUACUAUUACUUUUAACAAAUUAGAGUGAAAUAAGGACUUAUCCUCCGUUCUGCUUUCAUUGGUUUUCAGAUCAAGAGGUAAUGAUUUAUAGAAGCAGUUUGGGGGCAUUAGUAUUACGACGCGAGAGGUGAAAUUCUUGGACCGUCGUAAGACUAACUUUACCAAAAGCAUUUGCCAAAGAUGUUUUCAUUAAUCAAGAACGAAAGAGGUUAAACAAAGCCACCUAGCAAUUGGGUGUAGCUACUUUUAUGGCUCUCUCAGUCGCUUCCCGAGAAACCAAAGCUUUUGGGCUCGGGGGGAAGUAUGGUUGCAAAGCUGAAACUUAAAGGAAUUGACGGAAGGGCACCACCGACUCAAGACGGGAAAAAUUACCAGGGUUACCAGUGUGUAAGACAGAUUGAUAGCUCUUUCUCGAAUCUAUGGAUGGUGGUGCAUGGCCGUUCUUAGUUCGUGGAAUGAUUUGUCUGGUUAAUUCCGAUAACGAACGAGGCUCAAAUAUAUUAAAUAGAUAUCUUCAGGAUUAUGGUGCUGAAGCUUAUACAGCCUUCAUUCAUGGUGGCAGUAAAAUAUUUAUUGUGUUUGAAUAUGUUUAUGUAAUUGUAGCCGUACCUGUUGGUUUGUCCCAUUAUAAGGACACUAGCUUCUUAAAUGGACAAAUUGCGUCUAGCAAUAAUGUAGCUGCACGCGCGCUACAAUGAAAGUAUCAACGUGUAAUUCGUAGACCGAGGGGUCCGGGUAAACCGCUCAACCACUUUCAUGCUUGGGAUUGUGAACUGAAACUGUUCACAUGAACUUGGAAUUCCCAGUAAGUGUGAGUCAUUAACUCGCAUUGAUUACGUCCCUGCCUUUGUACACACCGCCCGUCGCUAAUACCGAUUGAAUUAUUUAGUGAGGUCUCCGAACGUGAUCACUGUGACGCCUUGCUUGUUACGGUUGUUUCGCAAAAGUUGACCGAACUUGAUUAUUUAGAGGAAGUAAAAGUCCUAACAAGGUUUCCGUAGGUGAACCUGCGGAAG